rnacentral:sRNA from 1 species
CCCAGUCAAAGGAUAAGGAUUUGAGAAACAUGCAUUUUACUUUCAGUUGAUUAGAAAUUGCCUGAUAUAAAUAUAAUUUAACGUUUUAAUAGUCCUUUAUUUAUAAUAGGGCUCCAGUGGUCCAGAAUCUUUUACUGUCUACCACUACAAUGGAUUGAAGCAGUCAAAUUAUAAUGAAAAGGUCAUGUACGUAGAAGGGACUGCAGUUGUGAUGGGUUUUGAAGAUCCCAUGCUACAAACAGAUGACACUCCUAUUAAACGCUGUCUGCAAACCAAAUGGCCAUACAUUGAGUUACUCUGGACCACAGAUCGCUCUCCUUCACUAAAUUAAUUUGCCUAAGUAUUUAUAAGGAAGAUCUUAAUAACAGAUGUUGAAAGAGGGAGUCAAGCCUGGCAAUUGGCUGGAUUAAGCUAAACACUGGUAUCAUUGAUUAACUGUAAAUAACAAUUAAAAACACAUUUUCAGUGU